AGCGAAAUCAGUCGAAGCCACGGAGCAGACGAAAUUGAGCUUGAUUCGUACGUGUAGACUCUAUUCUGGUGCAUCUAAAAAUGAUGGAAACACAGACGCUUCAAUUAGAUGUCUAGAGCAACGCCAAAGGACUGUUCUAUUGAGAGUCAGAGUUAGAUAAUGCGAGAGAUAUUUAAAUGGCGCCUAGAAAUUCCAUAUGAAGACAUGCAAGCCACAAUGUUCGCGAUUAUGUUCAUCGUUUGAAGGAUUCACCUAUGCAUAUAUGCUGACCGAACAACUCAUGAGAUGUAGGCUACAAAUUAUCGAACCAUCGAAUUAAGGUAUAUAAUAUACGGGUACAAUUCAUAACAUGUUUGGUAUGUGGUUCCAAUGUAAUUGUUUAUAGUAUAAUUUAGCUGCCUGCCUGCCAAAAGUAAAUCGACGCGAUUCAAGACUCACCGGGAAAAUAUAGUCAUGAAAUCCAACUGUGGAUGUCAAUAAAUAUUUUAACCUAUAUAUAACAACCGAGGCCUUUAAACUAUUAACUACAGUCACUGGAAAUUUUCUUGAAAAUCCUUUACUAAGGAAAUAGCAUCAAUCAUCGUUGGAAAUAGUAUGGAAAGGCCAAUUUUCAUACCAAUUGCAAGUUCCACACUAUGAAUAAAGACUGGACCAGGAAUAUAAACAUGGUUUGGGAAUGCAAUUGCAAAUUCCACAGCAUGAUAUAUGUCAUAUAUAAAUUGCGUAUUAGUAAUCGGGCCUUGUGUGUGAUAACAAGUACGAUCGUGCUAUAGUGGCCAGGAACCCAGUGCGUGGCCGAGUUCCGAUCUUGUGGAAAUCGCUAAAUGUUCAAAACCUUCGAGAUUUUGACUUGAUAAACAAAUAACAAUAGUAC